rnacentral:rRNA from 1 species
CCUACGGGUGGCUGCAGUGGGGAAUAUUGGGCAAUGGGCGCAAGCCUGACCCAGCAACGCCGCGUGAAGGAAGAAGGCUUUCGGGUUGUAAACUUCUUUUCUGAGGGACGAGGAACGUGACGGUCCCUCAGGAAUAAGCCACGGCUAACUACGUGCCCGCAGCCGCGGUAAUAGGUAGGUGGCAAGCGUUAUCCGUAUUUAUGGGGGGUAAAGGGCGUGUAGGCGGGAAAGCAAGUCAGAUGUGAAAACGCAGGGCUCAACCCUGAGCCUGCAUUUGAAACUGUUUUUCUUGAGUGCUGGAGAGGUAAUCGGAAUUCCGUGUGUAGCGGUGAAAUGCGUAGAUAUACGGAGGAACACCAGUGGCGAAGGCGGAUUGCUGGACAGUAACUGACGCUGAGGCGCGAAAGCGUGGGGAGCAAACAGGAUUAGAUACCCCAGUAGUC